GAUACCUAACAUAAAUCAUAUAUUUUUAUCAAAAUAAGAAACUCGAUAAAUUAAAGAUAAACAAUCACAUGUCAAUAAAUUGAAACAUCACCCAAAUCUUCAUGCAUCAUGGUUGCCUAUUUCCACCCAUCCAAAACCAACAAUCAUAUGAAAAAAACCAAUUAGAAUUUCUAUAAAACUAUAGUAAUGUGUAACAUAAAAACAAAUCAAUGUAAAAAGAGUGGGUUAGCUAUGAUCUGAAAGUAUAAAAACAAAUACACUUUCAACCCUAACCAAACUUGGUCACAAAGGCAGAUGAAUUCAAAAUUGACGAAGAAACAUAUGUAACUCUCUGAUAUUUGAUUCGGUCGCGAAACCAAAGCUCUUAUACAUUUGAGUGAUGAGAUCAAAUUGAUUUCCUUCUUUCACUUCAUCCUCAACAGCCUUGACAAUGGAAUGUAUAAUAUGACUUUAAUCCAUAUGUAUAAAUAAUUGAACUCGUGCAUCUAUAUAUAUAUAUAUAUAUAUAUAUAUAUAUAUAGCUUUGGUUGUUCGUCAAAACUCGGUAUAGAACCUUCUCAAGAUUGAUUCCGAUCUAAGAAUCUUGGUAUCUUCAUCUCCAGUCACCAUCCUUUCACCUGUUCUUCUUAGUCUUCUUUCUUUCUUUCUUUCUUUUGGGUUUAUCUUCUUCUUCUCUUUUCUUCUUCGGUUUGUUCACUAUCUUCUUCUUCUUUCUUUCCUCUCCGCCCAAUUGAUCUCGCGGUGACAACGUGAUAAAUAAACAUAGUGGCUUUGACGGAGGAAAACGAAUCACCAACUCGGGUGGUUGCGGAAUAGAUGAGCAAUUAAUGAUGGAUUAGGGUUUGUUUG
rnacentral:lncRNA from 1 species